rnacentral:rRNA from 1 species
GACGAACGCUGGCGGCGUGCUUAACACAUGCAAGUCGAACGGAAAGGCCCUGCUUUUGUGGGUUGCUCGAGUGGCGAACGGGUGAGUAACACGUGAGUAACCUGCCCUUGACUUUGGGAUAACUUCAGGAAACUGGGGCUAAUACCGGAUAUGAUCUCCUGCUGCAUGGUGGUGGUUGGAAAGUUUCGGCGGUUGGGGAUGGACUCGCGGCUUAUCAGCUUGUUGGUGGGGUAGUGGCUUACCAAGGCUUUGACGGGUAGCCGGCCUGAGAGGGUGACCGGCCACAUUGGGACUGAGAUACGGCGCAGAAUGCUACGGGAGGCAGCAGUGGGGAAUAUUGCACAAUGGGCGGAAGCCUGAUGCAGAAACGCCGCGUGCGGGAUGACGGCCUUCGGGUUGUAAACAGCUUUCGCCUGUGCCGAAGCGUGAGUGACGGUACUGGGUAAAGAAGCACCGGCUAACUACGUG